UACAGAGGUGGCAAGCGUUGUUCGGAAUUAUUGGGCGUAAAGGGCGCGUAGGCGGCUUGAUAAGUCAAAGGUGAAAUCCCUCGGCUCAACUGAGGAACUGCCUUUGAAACUAUCGAGCUUGAGGCCGGGAGGGGGUAGCGGAAUUCCCAGUGUAGCGGUGAAAUGCGUAGAUACUGGGAGGAACACCGGUGGCGAAGGCGGCUACCUGGACCGGUUCUGACGCUGAGGCGCGAAAGCGUGGGUAGCAAACAGG
rnacentral:rRNA from 1 species